UACGUAGGGCGCGAGCGUUAAUCGGAAUUACUGGGCGUAAAGCGUGCGCAGGCGGUUUAUCAAGACAGGCGUGAAAUCCCCGGGCUCAACCUGGGAACUGCGCUUGUGACUGGUAGGCUAGAGUGUGGCAGAGGGGGGUGGAAUUCCACGUGUAGCAGUGAAAUGCGUAGAGAUGUGGAGGAACACCGAUGGCGAAGGCAGCCCCCUGGGCUAACACUGACGCUCAUGCACGAAAGCGUGGGGAGCAAACAGG
rnacentral:rRNA from 1 species